rnacentral:miRNA from 1 species
AUCACCUGGGGAUCUCAUUAAACUGCAGGUUCUGACCCAGUAGGUCUGGGUGGACCAGGGAAUCUGCAUUUCUAACAAGCUCUCAGGUGUUGGCGCU